rnacentral:lncRNA from 1 species
AAAAUCAUCCCCAUCAAAUUUUAGGUAAUAAGCUAAAUGUCUGAACUUCCAGAUAUUAGUCUCUAUAGUCUAUUGCCUAGUAUUUAAGCUCUCUAUACAUAAAUAUUCACAUAUCAAUUAUGUUUAUUUUGGAUUUCCUUCAAGCAAUUAUUUGUACUGCAUAACAAAAUGGUAAUAAGGUCCAAAUUAUUUUAUUUGUGUUAACAUUUCUACCGGCAAACACCGUUCAUCAAUCACAAUGGGCUACGUUAACCUUUGCCCUCGAUAGAUUUUCCAAACAUAUAUAGCGUUAUAGCCUUAUUUAUAAUAUAGUUAGUAGUAAAUACAGGGAAAUUGCAUGUGUAAUACACAAUUGAUGAUCAUCGUGCUGUAUCAGCCGUCCGUUAUGAUAUCGAUAUCAGUCACGGUUGUAUCAGUCUUUAUUUCUUAUGCAGCAGAAAUACUGCAAUCUGAUUGGUUAAUUACCCCGGUGUAAAUAACACCCCACCCUUGUUCACCCGGGGAUAAAUAAAAUUUUGCCAAAAAAUUUAAAAAAAUAAAAUCUUGCCAAAUUUUUUUUUAAAUAUUAAAAAUUUGCCAAAAAAAAAUUUUAAAAAUAAAAUUUUGCCAAAUAAAAAAAAAAAAAAAAAAAAAAGUUCAAAAAAAAAAAAAAAAAAAUUGAGGAAAAAUUUUUAAAAAAUUUAAAAAAUAUUUUUAAUUUUUGUUCCCCCAACAAAACACAAAAACAUUCGGAAUUUUCCCUAAAAUAAAGAAAAAAAGUAUUGCAUUCGGAAAACAGCCACAUGUGUUAGCCAGUGAUAAAAAAAAAGAUCUGGAGUGAUUUUUUUUAAUUUCUUUAAUUAAAAAUAAGACUACAAAAUGCUUUUAAUUACAUCGACCGAAUUCAUUAUAAUUAUGUAGCUAUAAAUGGAUUGCAAACAAAAUGAUCAAAUAGUAUUCUAUUUUUAGUUUAAAGGAUAUUCUAUAGCGAUUUUCAACAUUUGUAAAAAAUUUGUUCGGAUAGGGUUUAUAUUUUCAAUCAUUCUGGAAAAUGUUAAGCGGUAUGGUUGAUCAUUGAUGAUAAACAUGUAGCAAAAACAUUAGUCUUUCUGAUGAUACCAUCACAUUGCAGGAUAGCAUAAAUAUGUAAGCAGAACCUGGAGAGAAAAUGAAAAUCGACAAAAAUCUGAAAAAUUGGAAAUUUUCAAUUUCGCCAAAGUUUUAGUACAGAAAUAAUUUAAACGCCCUAAAUCAUUAUAACGGAAAAGCUGUAUUUCAUUUAUAAUAUAAAUUAAAUGCUCAAAUUAUGAUCUUUUAUUUUUUCGUGUCAUAUAGAAAUAGAGAUUUUAAGUUUUUUUCGAACAUUAAUUUAGGGGUGGGUCGUAAAUUCAUUGGAGGUGUCCGUUAUUAUUCUGUGGUUUACCUGUUAGUAUGUACUAUUAUAGUAUUCAUUUAUGUAUUUCUCUGUCAUUAUGGUUCUUGCGUUUAUUUGCACUGUAUUCCUGUCAUGUAAUGUUGUAAUUUUAGCGGUAUUUUCAACAUUGCCAUAUAAGUUGGAGGUUUGGCUUUCCAUUAAACCAGAUUCAAACCACCAUUUUUUUCUUUAAAUGUCCUGUACCAAGUCAGGAAUAUGGAAGUUGUUAUCAAAUAGUCCGUUUCUAUGUAUGUUGGCGUUUGUUUUUAUAGCAGUUCAGUGUUUUUGUUGUUCCGUUGUUUACCUCUUAUAUAUAGUUGGUGUGUUUCCCUCGGUUUAAGUUUGAAAUCCG